rnacentral:rRNA from 1 species
AACGAACGCUGGCGGCAUGCCUAACACAUGCAAGUCGAACGAAGGCUUCGGCCUUAGUGGCGCACGGGUGCGUAACGCGUGGGAACCUGCCCCUCGGUUCGGAAUAACAGUUAGAAAUGACUGCUAAUACCGGAUGAUGACUUCGGUCCAAAGAUUUAUCGCCGAGGGAUGGGCCCGCGUAGGAUUAGCUAGUUGGUGGGGUAAAGGCCUACCAAGGCGACGAUCCUUAGCUGGUCUGAGAGGAUGAUCAGCCACACCGGGACUGAGACACGGCCCAGACUCCUACGGGAGGCAGCAGUGGGGAAUAUUGGACAAUGGGCGAAAGCCUGAUCCAGCAAUGCCGCGUGAGUGAUGAAGGCCUUAGGGUUGUAAAGCUCUUUUACCAGGGAUGAUAAUGACAGUACCUGGAGAAUAAGCUCCGGCUAACUCCGUG